UGGCCCAGCGCCGCGGCCCGCAUCCUGGCCGUAGCCGCCCGGAGGUGCAGUCGCCGCCGCCUGGUCGGAACGUCUGGCCCAGGAGCAUCCAACUCGGGGUUGUGGAGCUGCUCGGUGAGGGAGCCCACGACCACGGGCGACAGGUGCAUCAGACCCUCGGAGAUCUUCACCCCGAUGGACUCCGCAGCCAGCUCAAAGGAAAAGGGCCCCUGGAGCUUCUCGGCCAGCAGCAGGAGGCCAUCUUGAGGGAAGAGAAGGAAGAAAGGAGAUAUCCGCCCCAUUCAGGCUCCAGUCCCCUGCUGCUGAGACAGCCGUGGGCCACAUUGAGGCAGAAGCCCCGGCAGGGCAUGAGCGAGGGGACGCCCCGGCAAAGUGGGCAGCCGAUCAGCCGCAUCAGAGCCUGCCUGCAGCCUUCAGUCAUGGGUACCUAGGGGCAGAGAAUCAUGCUGUGUGCCAUCUACAAGCACCUGAGCUGCCUGCUGUCAGCCAAGCCUAGUGCUUGAGCAUGAGUCAAAUACUCCUGGCCCAUCUCCCCAGGCUGUAAUAUUGGGAGCGCUGGUGACCCAAGCACGUGAGACCACCAGACUGCCCAGGACCUCAGGAGGGAGCUUCCUAGUGGUCAGGUUGCAGACUUCACCUCCUGGGAGGGGUGUUACCGGAGGGGAGGGGGAAGAUUCAGGGCCCAGAGUGAGCUGAAGAUGGCUGCAGAGGGAGGGUUAACUGGGAGGUCAGGGACACACAGGAUGGGUGAGUGGUGGAGGGAAGGGGAAAUCAUUGAGAGAUUCUGAGAGACCCAGCAGGGGCAGUACUCCAAUGUCUGACUGCUGUGGAGAUGAACAAACCCUCAGACUGGCAGGGGGCAUGAGUCAUUGGAAGGGUCAGAGGUCACAGGAGAGGUCAUGACCCUGCCUGGCCUCCAUCUUUCCUGAUGUACUUAGAGCCUAGAGGCUAAUAACUGAAGGCCCUAGGCUUCUCCCGCCAGCUGGUGCCUGUGGUGUCCUCCCAGAGACUUCCCCCUCUUGCCUCUCCCUCCCUGGACCUUGCCCACAUUUGGGCCCCUUCUGACCUUAAGUGCUUCACUGACCACAUUUCUUCCAGUCUCCAGACCUUGGACAAAGGCCCGGGCAGCAACCAGGGCCCGGGUUAUCUGGAGGAAGGGAAAGAAAAUGAGGGGAACAAAACCCACAAAAAGACAAAACCCAAACCCACGAAGUUGUCAGUCAAGGGUCAUUCAAGACUGGAGCGGAGAGACCACCAAGGAGAUGAGCAUUGGAGGGGGUGGGGGUGUUAGAUUUGCGGGGUUAUCUUGGGAUGGGUGUAAUGUUGGGUGAUAUAGGGGGGCAGGUCAAUAGGUCCAAAGGAAUGAUCGUCUAGAAGGAUCAGGGGAACUUGGUUUGGUAAGAGCUGGAGGGAUUGUGUUGUACAGGGGUUGGAGAUAAACUAUGCAUCAGAACAUUGAACUUGAAGCCGGGAGACUGGGGUGUAAGACACAGUACCACCACUUAUUGGCUGUAAGACUUGAACCUCUGGGAGCUCCAUUUUUCUCCUCUGUAAAAUAAAGAUAUUUCUAUCUAUCUCAAA